GAUGAACGCUGGCGGCGUGUCUAAUACAUGCAAGUCGAGCGAACAGACGAGGAGCUUGCUCCUCUGACGUUAGCGGCGGACGGGUGAGUAACACGUGGAUAACCUACCUAUAAGACUGGGAUAACUUCGGGAAACCGGAGCUAAUACCGGAUAAUAUAUUGAACCGCAUGGUUCAAUAGUGAAAGACGGUUUUGCUGUCACUUAUAGAUGGAUCCGCGCCGCAUUAGCUAGUUGGUAAGGUAACGGCUUACCAAGGCAACGAUGCGUAGCCGACCUGAGAGGGUGAUCGGCCACACUGGAACUGAGACACGGUCCAGACUCCUACGGGAGGCAGCAGUAGGGAAUCUUCCGCAAUGGGCGAAAGCCUGACGGAGCAACGCCGCGUGAGUGAUGAAGGUCUUCGGAUCGUAAAACUCUGUUAUUAGGGAAGAACAAAUGUGUAAGUAACUAUGCACGUCUUGACGGUACCUAAUCAAAAAGCCACGGCUAACUACGUG
rnacentral:rRNA from 1 species